rnacentral:rRNA from 1 species
AUUGAACGCUGGCGGCAUGCUUUACACAUGCAAGUCGAACGGCAGCGCGGGGCAACCUGGCGGCGAGUGGCGAACGGGUGUGUAAUAUAUCGGAACGUACCCAGAAGGGGGGGGUAACGUAGCUAAAACUACGCGAAUACCGCAUACGACCUAUGCAUGAAAGGGAGGGAUCGCAAGACCCCAUUGUUGUGGAGCGGCCGACAUCGGAUUAGAUAGUUGGGAGGGUAAAGGCCUACCAAGGCGACGAGCUGUAGCCGGUCUCAGAGGACGACCAGACACCCUGGCACUGAGAGAGGGCCCAGACACCUGCGGGGGGCAGCAGUGGGGAAUUUUAGACAAUGGGCGCAAGCCUGAUCCAGCAAUGCCGCGUGAGUGAAGAAGGCCUUCGGGUUGUAAAGCUCUUUUGUAAGGGAAGAAGCGGACGAGGCUAAUAACUUUGGCUAAUGACGGUACCUGAAGAAUAAGCACCGGCUAACUACGUG